AUUCUCCUUCAUGUCAGAUAGCCAUCGAAAAAUAGAAGUUAAUGCUUGUAGUCCUUUUUUUUUGGUUUGCAAGUUUGGCUCUUCUGUAACAUUU